rnacentral:tRNA from 1 species
GCCUUAGUAGCUUAACAAUAAAGCACCGGUCUUGUAAUCCGGAGAUCGAAGGAUAAAACCCUUCCUAACGCC